ensembl:snoRNA SNORA70 Small nucleolar RNA SNORA70
CUGCAGUCACUUACGCUGCCCACGUUCUUGUUGCUGUAGAGCCUUGUGUGCAGCGGCUGCAAACAGUGGCCUCCUUGGUGUAGGGAACCAGCCUGCUGCCUCUGUAUGUGGCCUUAGGGACCUUGGAGACAUCC